UUGAACGCUGGCGGCAGGCCUAACACAUGCAAGUCGAACGGUAACAGGAAGAAGCUUGCUUCUUUGCUGACGAGUGGCGGACGGGUGAGUAAUGUCUGGGAAACUGCCUGAUGGAGGGGGAUAACUACUGGAAACGGUAGCUAAUACCGCAUAACGUCGCAAGACCAAAGAGGGGGACCUUCGGGCCUCUUGCCAUCGGAUGUGCCCAGAUGGGAUUAGCUUGUUGGUGGGGUAACGGCUCACCAAGGCGACGAUCCCUAGCUGGUCUGAGAGGAUGACCAGCCACACUGGAACUGAGACACGGUCCAGACUCCUACGGGAGGCAGCAGUGGGGAAUAUUGCACAAUGGGCGCAAGCCUGAUGCAGCCAUGCCGCGUGUAUGAAGAAGGCCUUCGGGUUGUAAAGUACUUUCAGCGGGGAGGAAGGGAGUAAAGUUAAUACCUUUACUCAUUGACGUUACCCGCAGAAGAAGCACCGGCUAACUCCGUGCCAGCAGCCGCGGUAAUACGGAGGGUGCAAGCGUUAAUCGGAAUUACUGGGCGUAAAGCGCACGCAGGCGGUUUGUUAAGUCAGAUGUGAAAUCCCCGGGCUCAACCUGGGAACUGCAUCUGAUACUGGCAAGCUUGAGUCUCGUAGAGGGGGGUAGAAUUCCAGGUGUAGCGGUGAAAUGCGUAGAGAUCUGGAGGAAUACCGGUGGCGAAGGCGGCCCCCUGGACGAAGACUGACGCUCAGGUGCGAAAGCGUGGGGAGCAGACAGGAUUAGAUACCCUGGUAGUCCACGCCGUAAACGAUGUCGACUUGGAGGUUGUGCCCUUGAGGCGUGGCUUCCGGAGCUAACGCGUUAAGUCGACCGCCUGGGGAGUACGGCCGCAAGGUUAAAACUCAAAUGAAUUGACGGGGGCCCGCACAAGCGGUGGAGCAUGUGGUUUAAUUCGAUGCAACGCGAAGAACCUUACCUGGUCUUGGCAUCCACAGAACUUUCCAGAGAUGGAUUGGUGCCUUCGGGAACUGUGAGACAGGUGCUGCAUGGCUGUCGUCAGCUCGUGUUGUGAAAUGUUGGGUUAAGUCCCGCAACGAGCGCAACCCUUAUCCUUUGUUGCCAGCGGUCCGGCCGGGAACUCAAAGGAGACUGCCAGUGAUAAACUGGAGGAAGGUGGGGAUGACGUCAAGUCAUCAUGGCCCUUACGACCAGGGCUACACACGUGCUACAAUGGCGCAUACAAAGAGAAGCGACCUCGCGAGAGCAAGCGGACCUCAUAAAGUGCGUCGUAGUCCGGAUUGGAGUCUGCAACUCGACUCCAUGAAGUCGGAAUCGCUAGUAAUCGUGGAUCAGAAUGCCACGGUGAAUACGUUCCCGGGCCUUGUACACACCGCCCGUCACACCAUGGGAGUGGGUUGCAAAAGAAGUAGGUAGCUUAACCUUCGGGAGGGCGCUUACCACUUUGUGAUUCAUGACUGGGGUG
rnacentral:rRNA from 1 species